GUUAAAAUCAAUAGCUUUCAAGUUUCCACUAAUUAACUAAAUUUAAGAUAGAAUUUUAAAGGUCUUUCAGAGUGAAAUAAAUAUUUGAAAUCUAAAUUGCUCAUACAUAAAGAUCAAGAAUGUGUACAAGAACUAUACUUUUCAUCCCCCAUUAAACUUAACAUAGCUCAUCAGUUUCGUAUGAUAACAUUUUAAAACUAAAUAAAUAACUACAUGCACAGAUGUAAAUUUUUUGAAAGAUGGUAAUUCAACAGUUGCCUGAGUAAAAAUAAUCUUGUGUCACGUCACUAAUCUGAGGCUGCCCAAACUCCUCCAAGCAAAAAUUUUUCAUUAAAAACUUAAAAAAGAAAAGUAAUUUAGAUUAGGUUAGUUUGAAACUACUAACAUCUAUAUUUAAG
rnacentral:misc_RNA from 1 species